CGCGCCGCGAGCCGGGCGUCCCCCGCGUGCUGCGGCGGCCUCGGAGGGCGAGGAACGCGACGGCCACCGCGGGCGGGAGGCAGAGCGGCCCGUGACCGAGAAGUGGGAGACUCCUCUAAGACCAGUCGCUGGAUCCCUGGUUCCUGAAUCUCUAUCCUGAUUCACUUAGUCUGGUUCUUCCAGAAAGAAGUAAAUCAUCCUUGAGUUCACCUGCUGCUUCUGAGACCAUAUGUUAUUUUCUCCAAAUGCCUGAUUUUCAUACUUCCUGUCAUGACAUUCUCAGGAUGCUUUUACUCUAUUCAUCUGGAUAACUUCCCAUCAAUAAAUUGAAUAGUCCACAACAUAAACCACUUCUGGGUCCCAGUAACUCCAUCUUCCCUGAGUUUCUGUGAACUGAGUUCUUAUUCUAAUGCCACUCUGGAAAACAAAAAUUCAUAUUCCAAACUUCUCAAAUGUGUCUGUGAUAUAUUUUUAGUGGUCAUAGAUUAUGUCAAGGGAAUUUAAAAUUUUCUUUGAAGUAACAUAAUGAUCUUAACAUAAUAAGUAUAUUAUUAAUCAUCUGUGUAACUGUAAUAUUGAUAAUUUAUAACUCAGUGCUGCCACUAUUUACCUCUUUUGUUUGCAUUCGUAUUUACGAUCACAUUGGUUCCAAGUAUUAUUGCUUUAAUUGCUUUGGACUAAUGAGGAAGAACUUAGGAAUUUAACCACAUAAAUAAUUCAUUUGUUCUAAAAUGAAGCCAUAAAAUAUGACGCCCUGCAUGAAUAAAGGUGUGGCAUAGUUAAGUUGGAGAAAAGUGGUAGGAGGACAAAGUCCCCCUAUAGCAACCAUAAUCAGCAUAUUCUUUAGGCGUGCUGAGAUCAGUAUUGGUACACUAGCACUCAUAAAUGUAGCUUUCGUGUUUUGAGGUAGGAUUUGAUAGUAAAAAAGCAAGGUCAUCUGCUGUAUUAAAUUAAGAUUUUAAAUUUGAACAUUUUGCCUGUUGUAUUGCUAUUUGAUUCCUAUUUUUUUGUUUGUGUUUAGGUAAGAGCUACAAACAUAUGGGUUUUAUAAUUAGGUUGAUGUUAACAUAUUUGAGUAAAAUUAUGCUAUGAAUAAAUUUGAUCUAUGCGAGGGGAUCUUUUAAAAGGACCUAUAUGUUGUUUAAGGAUGAGAAACACUGAUAUAUGCUAAUUGUGGGAUAUGUGCUGAAGAACCAGUGU
rnacentral:lncRNA from 1 species